GUCCUUGAGUAAGACACUUAACUCCAGGUUGCUCCGGGGGGAUUGUCCCUGUAAUAAGUGCACUGUAUAAUACAUUGGUACUCAGAAGGUUGCUGGUUCGAUCCCCACAGUCACCACCAUUGUGUCCUUGAGUAAGACACUUAACUCCAGGUUGCUCCGGGGGGAUUGUCCCUGUAAUAAGUGCUCUGUAUAAUACAUUGGUACUCAGAAGGUUGCUGGUUUGAUCCCCACAGUCACCACCAUUGUGUCCUUGAGUAAGGCACUUAACUCCAGCUUGCUCCGGGGGGGAUUGUCCCUGUAAUAAGUGCUCUGUAUAAUACAUUGGUAAUCAGAAGGUUGCUGGUUUCAUCCCCACAGUCACCACCAUUGUGUCCUUGAGUAAGGCACUUAACUCCAGGUUGCUCCGGGGGGGAUUGUCCCUGUAAUAAGUGCUCUGUAUAAUACAUUGGUACUCAGAAGGUUGCUGGUUUGAUCCCCACAGUCACCACCAUUGUGUCCUUGAGUAAGACACUUAACUCCAGGUUGCUCCGGGGGGAUUGUCCCUGUAAUAAGUGCUCUGUAUAAUACAUUGGUACUCAGAAGGUUGCUGGUUUGAUCCCCACAGUCACCACCAUUGUGUCCUUGAGUAAGACACUUAA